ACCAGGAUGGCUGAGAGGUUAAGGCGUUGGACUUAAGAUCCAAUGGGCCCUCAUGGGUUCAAACCCCACUCCUGGUA